AUCGCUUCUCGGCCUUUUGGCUAAGAUCAAGUGCAGAUCCCAAACCCAUUUCCCACCUAAACUGAUUAUUAGCUUUAUUAGCUAUACUUUCCUUGUAGGUAUAAUGGAGGUUCUAUUCUCUGUGUUGUCAUCUUUAGAGCGGGUAGAGAAACUUC
rnacentral:snRNA from 1 species